rnacentral:rRNA from 1 species
GCCUGUUUAUCAAAAACAUAGUUUAGUGUAUAUACAUACUAAAUUAAUUCUGCCCAGUGUAUAUAUUAUAAAUGGCCGCAGUACCCUGACUGUGCUAAGGUAGCAUAAUCAAUUGGCUUUUAAUUGAAGUCUGGAAUGAAAGAAUAAAUGAGGUUAUUCUCUCUUAAAAGUACUAUUAAAAAGUUAUUUAUUAGGUGAAAAUACCUAAACUCAAUUAAAAGACGAGAAGACCCUAAGAGUUUUUAAUAAAAAUAAUGUAGAUUAUUUAUUUUUUUGUUGGGGCGACAAUUUAGCACUUCUUUAAAACCUAAAUUUUUGUACAAGGCGAUUAUUUUAAGAAAGAAAAAACUACCUUAGGGAUAACAGCAUAAUUUUUUAAAAAGUUUGUGACCUCGAUGUUGGACUAGGAACUUUAUGACUAGCAGUCAAAAGAGAUUUAUUCUGUUCGAAUAAUUUUAUCCUACGUGAUCUGA